rnacentral:tRNA from 1 species
UCCUGGGUGGCUCAGUGGGUUAAGCGUCUGACUUCAGCUCAGGUCAUGACCUCAGUUUGUGAGUUCAAGCCCCACAUCAGGCA